GACGAACGCUGGCGGUGUGCUUAACACAUGCAAGUCGAACGGUAAGGCUCCAGCUUGCUGGGGUACACGAGUGGCGAACGGGUGAGUAACACGUGGGUGACCUGCCCUGCACUUCGGGAUAAGCCUGGGAAACUGGGUCUAAUACCGGAUAGGACCGCACCGUGAGGGUGUGGUGGAAAGUUUUUUCGGUGUGGGAUGGGCCCGCGGCCUAUCAGCUUGUUGGUGGGGUAAUGGCCUACCAAGGCGGCGACGGGUAGCCGGCCUGAGAGGGUGGACGGCCACAUUGGGACUGAGACACGGCCCAGACUCCUACGGGAGGCAGCAGUGGGGAAUAUUGCACAAUGGGCGGAAGCCUGAUGCAGCGACGCCGCGUGGGGGAUGACGGCCUUCGGGUUGUAAACUCCUUUCACCAUCGACGAAGGGUUUCUGACGGUAGAUGGAGAAGAAGCACCGGCUAACUACGUGCCAGCAGCCGCGGUAAUACGUAGGGUGCGAGCGUUGUCCGGAAUUACUGGGCGUAAAGAGCUCGUAGGUGGUUUGUCGCGUCGUCUGUGAAAUUCCGGGGCUUAACUCCGGGCGUGCAGGCGAUACGGGCAUAACUUGAGUACUGUAGGGGAGACUGGAAUUCCUGGUGUAGCGGUGAAAUGCGCAGAUAUCAGGAGGAACACCGGUGGCGAAGGCGGGUCUCUGGGCAGUAACUGACGCUGAGGAGCGAAAGCAUGGGGAGCGAACAGGAUUAGAUACCCUGGUAGUCCAUGCCGUAAACGGUGGGCGCUAGGUGUGGGUUUCCUUCCACGGGAUCCGUGCCGUAGCUAACGCAUUAAGCGCCCCGCCUGGGGAGUACGGCCGCAAGGCUAAAACUCAAAGGAAUUGACGGGGGCCCGCACAAGCGGCGGAGCAUGUGGAUUAAUUCGAUGCAACGCGAAGAACCUUACCUGGGCUUGACAUAUACAGGAUCGCGCCAGAGAUGGUGUUUCCCUUGUGGCUUGUAUACAGGUGGUGCAUGGUUGUCGUCAGCUCGUGUCGUGAGAUGUUGGGUUAAGUCCCGCAACGAGCGCAACCCUUGUCUUAUGUUGCCAGCACGUUGUGGUGGGGACUCGUAAGAAACUGCCGGGGUUAACUCGGAGGAAGGUGGGGAUGACGUCAAAUCAUCAUGCCCCUUAUGCCCAGGGCUUCACACAUGCUACAAUGGUCGGUACAGUGGGUUGCCAGUCCGUGAGGGCGAGCUAAUCCCGCAAAGCCGGUCUCAGUUCGGAUCGGGGUCUGCAACUCGACCCCGUGAAGUCGGAGUCGCUAGUAAUCGCAGAUCAGCAACGCUGCGGUGAAUACGAUCCCGGGCC
rnacentral:rRNA from 1 species